rnacentral:rRNA from 1 species
UACGGAGGGAGCUAGCGUUGUUCGGAAUUACUGGGCGUAAAGCGUGCGCAGGCGGUGGCUCAAGCCAGGCGUGAAAUCCCCGGGCUUAACCUGGGAAUGGCGUUUGGGACUGGGUCGCUAGAGUGUGGCAGAGGGAGGUGGAAUUCCACGUGUAGCAGUGAAAUGCGUAGAGAUGUGGAGGAACACCGAUGGCGAAGGCAGCCUCCUGGGCCAGCACUGACGCUCAUGCACGAAAGCGUGGGGAGCAAACAGG